UAGCUUACCCAAGAGUCUACUGUGUAGCCAAGAAGGUGAACCUGAGGAGUGAAGAUUUCAAGAAACACCAAGGACAUCUCUACCAUUGAGGAGAUUAUCAGCUCUGUCCAGAGCCUCCUUUCAGAACAGUUUAAAAAUAUAAGAAGACAAACCAAAUAUAUACCUCCUACGGUUCAGGUACCAUAAUAAUGGCAAAGUUGCAGAAGCAUGGGAGAUGCUGAAUCACGAGGCAGUCCAAAAUUGGAGCUCCAGGGAAUAAGCUACUAGGUGCCACCUUGCACUACAGUUUUCAAGAACUUGGAAAGGGGAAAUUUCCAUCUUGAUUGUUGCCUUUGCAGUAUACUCAGCUGCCAAGACAUGACUCAAAGAAAUGAAAAGAGUGACCACCGAUAUAUGAAGAAGGAACUUUGA
rnacentral:lncRNA from 1 species